AACCUCUCUCGCCCCUCUCCCGGUCUCCCCUCCCCCGCCGCAUCCGCUGCGCGUGACCACAAGCUCCUGCCACAACCGCGCGACUCUGCCCGCCGACCACCGCAUCCGUCGCAUGCAUCGGCGGUUGCCGCACGAUGAAGGUCACGGCUGAUCCCACGAUGGCCUCGGCUAGAGGAGGACGAUAGGUCCAUAGCGACGGACGCUCAAGUAAGAGGAGCGGCCCAAUGGCGGCGGCCUCGAGCACGGGGAUAAGUGCAGGCUGGGGAUGCAGGAGAGGUGCAGCGCGGGGUUUGGAGCUCCCACGAGCUGGGAGCGGCGCAUCCGACGGUGACAGACACAGGGACGCGUUGAUCCAGGUGUGGGUGCUCAAUUCGGUCCCGUUUUGGCCGGAUCCGCGGCGGUGCUCAUCUCCGGCGAGGUGGCCUGUGACUCGCGGGACGACGGCGGCGCAAGACCACAGGAGGGGCUCAUCUCAUGGGACAGGGGCGCGAGGUCUUGUUGGCUUCGGUUGCCGGUGGCUUGACGCAGGGGUGGCCGGGGUCCGGCGCCAUGGAGGCUCUUCGAGGACGAGGAAGCAGACAGCAACGACAACUUUGAGGCCAGCGGGGGCGCCGUCUCCACGUUCGAUGGUCGGGGUCCAACGCGGCCGCCGUUGGCUCCAUCCCCUACAGUUAUCAUGCGGAUAAGAGAACCAAAAACUACCACAUUGAUAUCUGCUUCAGGAAAAAUGGUUUGCACUGGAGCAAAAAGUGAACAACAAUGUAAACUCGCAGCUAGAAAGGUCAAAUAUUUGACGAUGUUUUCUUCUCCCAACCUGGCAAGGAGUAAGAAGUCAGUUGGAGUGAGAAGUGAGACAAGUACCAUGAGCUCAAGUGAUCCAUUCACCAAGCUGGUAAACGCAUAAACUUCAAAAAAAUCAUCUCAAUAAGUUUUGGUUGGCUGAUAGCUUGCAAGAUCUUCAUAUUCUACAUAGAAGGUGCAGUGUGAUGUGAUGCAUAUGGAACUGGUAUUACUUUGCAGUAUGGAACUGGCGGUGGGUGUAUGAAAUGUGAUGGCUGUAAUAUUAUACCUAAUUUCUUAUCAGUUCAUGAUAUGGCUGUUUGAAAUGUGAUACCUGGACGUGAGUGUCUCUGGCGCGGGAUCCUGGACGCCUCCGGCGGCGGCUGGUGAAAGGGAUAGCCGGAUCCUGGACGUCUUCGGCGACGGGUCCUGAAAGGGAU